rnacentral:tRNA from 1 species
GGGCGAUUAGCUCAGCUGGUAGAGCACUGUGUUCACAUCGCAGGGGUCACUGGUUCAAGUCCAGUAUCGCCCA